CCACUCUCCAAAGACUACACAUGGACAGACCAUGCAGGCUCCAGCUGAUUGUGUAGCAGAGGAUGGCCUUGCUGGGCACCAAUGGGAAGAGAAGCCCUUGGUCCUGCCAAGGCUGGACCUCCCAGUGUCAGGGCAGAGAGACUGAUAUUCCUUAUCUUAAGGAGAGCAGAGCAACCACCGGGCAAAUUAUUAAAUCAAUGAUGUAA